CCUACGGGCGGCAGCAGUGGGGAAUAUUGGACAAUGGGGGCAACCCUGAUCCAGCCAUGCCGCGUGUGUGAAGAAGGCCCUCGGGUUGUAAAGCACUUUCAGUGAGGAAGAACGCCUGGUGGUUAAUACCCAUCAGGAAAGACAUCACUCACAGAAGAAGCACCGGCUAACUCCGUGCCAGCAGCCGCGGUAAUACGGAGGGUGCGAGCGUUAAUCGGAAUUACUGGGCGUAAAGCGCGCGUAGGUGGCUUGAUAAGCCGGUUGUGAAAGCCCCGGGCUCAACCUGGGAACGGCAUCCGGAACUGUCAAGCUAGAGUGCAGGAGAGGAAGGUAGAAUUCCCGGUGUAGCGGUGAAAUGCGUAGAGAGCGGGAGGAAUACCAGUGGCGAAGGCGGCCUUCUGGACUGACACUGACACUGAGGUGCGAAAGCGUGGGUAGCAAACAGGAUUAGAUACCCUAGUAGUC
rnacentral:rRNA from 1 species